ACUUCCUCCACAACAGGUACGGACCACCCUAAAUGGAAAGUACUCACAUUUUGCCUGUCGUAUGUUGUGCUUUUCGACACCAAAACCUGCCUUUCCUUUGUGCUGGAAUAACCUCCUUUUUAUUACAAUUGGCCGUGUGACAGGGAGUCAUUGCUAUUUCACCGCGUUACUGCGUUCACACCCACAGCUGAGCAGCACAGAUAUGGCUUUACUGUUGGGUUCCUGACUGCUCAGCCAGUUUUGUUCUCCCUGGCUUCUCCCUGACUCAGAAGAGUCAUAGGCAUGUUAGAGCUUAGAGUUCCUUUUUUUUCCUGUACUGUAGGGCUUGGCCUCCAGUUUUGGCUUUGUUUAUAUCCCAAGGUAUCAGAUAGCAAAUUAAGUUCAAGGCAGUGAUGGUGUCCUGCUCGGAAAUGGAUGUGCUGGAUGGCAGAAGAGGAUUCUUGGCCAAGUAUGGAAUCAUCUCUGUUCCUUCACAAAGGAACAAAACAAGGCAACAGAGACGUUGACAGCAGCGAUGGUGAUGGAGAUGUUCAGACUGGAGGAGCUCUUGGCUCGCUGCAGCCACCCCACCACAACAGCAUCCCCAGAGCUCCCUGCUGGCCCUGGAGGAGUCAGAGUGCUCUGUGCUGGAAGAAGAGGAGUCGAGGCUGCUGGAGACAUCUGGGCUCAGUGGCUCCGUGGCAGUGAUGCACUGCAUCAGCUCUUCCAUUUGGCAGCUGUUCGCAGUGUCUUUGGUCCCCUCUCUUGUGACACCGGGCAGGUCCUGGUUGUGCUGGGGGACCUCCAGAGCACUCGCCGCUUCUGAGAAAGCAAGAACAUCCCCCCGAACGAUGAUGGCAGUCUUCCCACACCCGCUCGGUGCAGGCACCCACCCGUCACCUCUGCAGACCACAGUCUCACCGUCAAUCCAG